GUGGGUGCUACCUGCAAGUCGAGCGAGAAAGCUCCUUCGGGAGUGAGUACAGCGGCGGACGGGUGAGUAACACGUGAGAACCUGCCUUUUAGUGAAGAAUACCUUCGAGAAAUCGGAGUUAAUGCUGCACACGCCCCUUCGGGGGGAAAAGUGGCUUUUAUGCUGCUGCUAAAAGAUGGGCUUGCGGACUAUCAGCUUGUUGGUGGGGUAAUGGCCUACCAAGGCAAUGACGGUUAGCCGACCUGAGAGGGCGAUCGGCCACAUUGGGACUGAGACACGGCCCAGACUCCUACGGGAGGCAGCAGUGGGGAAUAUUGCGCAAUGAGCGAAAGCUUGACGCAGCAACACCGCGUGGAGGAUGAAGGUUUUCGGAUCGUAAACUCCUGUUAGUUGGGAAGAAAGAUCUUUUUUUAAUACAAAAAGAUUAUGACGGUACCAGUUUAGAAAGCACCGGCUAACUUCGUGCCAGCAGCCGCGGUAAUACGAGGGGUGCAAGCGUUAUUCGGAAUUACUGGGCGUAAAGGGUGUGUAGACGGUUUAUUAAGUUCGUUGUUAAAUCUUCCGGCCUAACCGGAAACGUGCGGUGAAAACUGAUAAACUAGAGGAUGAGAGAGAGGAGUGGAAUUCCCGGAGUAGCGGUAAAAUGCGUAGAUCUCGGGAGGAACACCAAUGGCGAGGCAGCUCCUUGGCUCAUUUCUGACGUUGAGACACGAAAGCGUGGGUAGCGAACAGGAUUAGAUACCCUGGGUAGUCCACGCCGUAACGAUAAUCACUAGAUGUUAGUCU
rnacentral:rRNA from 1 species